rnacentral:lncRNA from 1 species
GUUGUGAGGUAUGACGGUGAUGCAUAUGAAUGGAAGGCGCAAUCAAGCAUAUUACAUUUGUAAGACAUCACUAAACCAUCGGAUUAGCCGUGAUUCUGUAUAGGAAGGUAAUCCGGGAGUCUCUAAUACCUUUAAAUUAUGGAUUAAUAAAUAUGUGUAUUGUGCUUCUAUAUUAAUAUUAAAAUGAAGUUUUAAGUUUUUUAGAAGUGUAGCAUAUAAUUUUAUAAAUCAUGCUUGCUCCAGUUAGGUUCUGUGGAACAUCAUUGCUUGCUUGCCAUCUAAGCAGUCCCCUUGGCUAGCUAACGCCUUCCUAAGAUCCCAGUAAUGCUCCAAGAACAGCCACCUGUAUUCCCUAGAACGAUGCCCACUCCUCCGAGCCAGAUGUCGGCAACAGCUGUCACACCUAGUUCCCUUUAGUCCAGUGGAAAGAAAACACUAGAAACUUUUAUGUUUUAAAACUCAAAGGCUGGGCGAAG